rnacentral:tRNA from 1 species
UGGAGUAUAGCCAAGCGGUAAGGCAAUGGUUUUUGAUAUCAUGUAUCAAAGGUUCGAAUCCUUUUACUCCAG